rnacentral:rRNA from 1 species
GUAAUUUGCAGAGGAUGCUUCGGGUUCGGCUCCGGUCUAAGUUCCUUGGAACAGGACGUCAUAGAGGGUGAGAAUCCCGUAUGUGACUGGCCGCCACGCCCGUGUGAAGCUCCUUCGACGAGUCGAGUUGUUUGGGAAUGCAGCUCAAAAUGGGUGGUAAAUUUCAUCUAAAGCUAAAUAUUGGCCAGAGACCGAUAGCGCACAAGUAGAGUGAUCGAAAGAUGAAAAGCACUUUGGAAAGAGAGUCAAACAGUACGUGAAAUUGUUGGAAGGGAAGCGCUUGCAACCAGACUUGCCCGCGGGUGAUCAACCGGUAUUCUUACCGGUGCACUCGCCCGUGGUCAGGCCAGCAUCGGUUUGGGUGGCUGGAUAAAGUCCACUGGAAUGUAGCUCCUCUCGGGGAGUGUUAUAGCCAGAGGUGCCAUGCAGCCCGCCCGGACCGAGGACCGCGCUUCGGCUAGGAUGCUGGCGUAAUGGUUGUAAGCGACCCGUCUUGAAACACGGACCAAGGAGUCUAACAUCUAUGCGAGUGUUUGGGUGUCAAACCCAUGCGCGUAAUGAAAGUGAACGGAGGUGGGAACCCUUAAGGGUGCACCAUCGACCGAUCCUGAUGUCUUCGGAUGGAUUUGAGUAAGAGCAUAGCUGUUGGGACCCGAAAGAUGGUGAACUAUGCCUGAAUAGGGUGAAGCCAGAGGAAACUCUGGUGGAGGCUCGCAGCGGUUCUGACGUGCAAAUCGAUCGUCAAAUUUGGGUAUAGGGGCGAAAGACUAAUC